AAUGCUUAGCAAACAUCCCACUAAGCAGACAGCUCAAGUGGGACAAAGCUUGCUAGCUGGUUCUUGUGUUAAACCCACACCAUCCUCUUUCAUGAGAGGGUGCAUUUUUUGGCUUCUGUGGCCAAACCAAAUGCAAGAAGGGCUACUAGGUCUCUGAUUUGGCUCAAACAAAUAAACUGUCUGUUACAGUGUGUCUUGUGCAUGUGGACUGUAGGAGAGGAGCACGACUUUUGGUUCUUGAUCUUUGCCUGUGAGCCAGACAUCUAAACUCCCUUCAUCAAGCUCCCAAGAUUUUUGCUUAUUUUUUAAAGGAGAGAUGUGAGUAAAACUGCCUGGAAGCUAUGCCAUGCCUUCUGAAAGGGAAGUAAGCUUUGGAAUUCAGGUUAGAGAAAGCAUAUCUUGGUUCUUUGGGGGAACGAGUCCUGCAUUUUUGUUGGUUCUCAUUUACUGCUCUUGUUUCCUGGUCACAUUUGCUCCUUUGUAGGUUGCAGGCUAUGUGUAUUUGAAUCACUGUGCCCUGAAAAAGUGAGUUUGGCAAAGAACAGCCUAUAAGAAAUGCUUAGAUCAGCUAUUGUUUGCCUUGUCCAGAGUAAGAUCUUGAAGUUCUCUAGACAGAAGCUGCACGCCUGAGCAGUUUGCUUGCAUUGGAGAGUGGAAACCAAAAUGAGGAGGCAGGUGGUGGAUGAAGGAAGCAAAGAGUGAUGCCUGGACGCGUUCCUGGGUGACCUAAUUUAGGUGUUCAUGCUCUGGCAGGGGGAUUGGACUAGAUGAUCUUUCGGGGUCCUUUCCAAUCCCUGACAUUCUGUAAUACAGAGAAACAACUUCCAGAAUUUUCCAGGGCACUCAGAGCCAAGGCCCCCUAGCUCAGCCUUCUGAGCCUGGCCCUCCUUCACCCCCCUGCACAAAAUCAGUUUUGUGAUUCCCAAGCAGUCAAAGCAUCAACGUGGAACUGAAGAGAUGGCUAUAUACAGCUUAAUGGAAAGGUGUCUGAGCCUGACAGGCCUGAUGAGACUGCAGCAGAGAUAUGGCUACAGAGCAUGUUCUUGUCUCCUGGAUACUCCCACGGCUCUUCAGAAGCACUCUGAACAGCCACAAGUAAUGCUGACUAUAGGCCACUGUUUACUUCCACUAAAUUUGGAGCUCUGGACUCCCAGAAGGAGAGAAUCCUUCUAAGGUUAAGAAGGAAAAAUGGCAUCUGUCCUAGGACUGUGGCAGUUCCUGACUCCAAGACGGCUCUUCAAGACUUUUCCCAAGACCUGCUAACUGUUGCUAAUUGCAGUGAGCCAAAAAUGCUUCUUGUCAUCACUGUCUGGAUGCUUGACAGGGCCAGGCCUGGACAACUGCUUGAGACAAUCAGUCUGAUCCAGCAAUUGGUAAUCAGUGCCUAAAAAUAACUGCACAAAUUGAAGCACCAUAGAAAGCCAUGAUUGGGACUGGUAGAGAACAUGGUUCUGCUUGCAAUUUUGCUAGUAUAGGCAACUAGAAACAAUAGUUGCCUCAACUUCUAUAUUCAUGUUUUCUCAAGGCUUCUGGCUGGUAGGAGUGAGCCUGGCUGGUCAUAACUGCAAGAUCUUGCCUGUUCUAUUUGUAGAACAGAAGAGCUGUACCAGUUAAAUUUUUUUGUUGAGAAAUAAAUAUUUCACUUC
ensembl:lncRNA